GGGGAUUUAGCUCAGUGGUAGAGCGCUUGCCUAGCAAGCACAAGGCCCUGGGUUCCGUCCCCAGCUCCG
rfam:Rattus norvegicus chromosome 16, whole genome shotgun sequence.